CCCUAAGGAAGGAUCUCUUUCUGGUGAUCCCUCCUCUAUGGAGUUUCCCCUGUGAACCUAGAUUCUUGGAGAUGGCACAUUCCGAGCAGCGUGAAGAAGCAUCAAGCCCAGUGUAGGGGACGGAAAAAUGUAGAAGCUGAAAGCACUGUAAUGAAAACAGGAAGUGAAAAGCUAAGAAAGGGUUUUACUGGUCAGCUUUGUGAAUUAGAUGUUGUUGCCUGCCUCUCACAACCAUGUGGGGCCUCCAGCAUCUGCAAAGACAUAUCUGAUGGCUAUGUUUGUUUCUGUGCACCUGGUUUUAUAGGUAAUAACUGUGAGAUUGAGGUGGAUGAGUGUCUUAGUGACCCUUGUCACAGUGGAGCCACUUGCAUUGAUCAUCUGAAUGCCUUCAGUUGCAUCUGUCAGGAUGGAUU